rnacentral:rRNA from 1 species
AGACCCGAAACCCGGUGAUCUAGCCAUGGGCAGGUUGAAGGUUGGGUAACACUAACUGGAGGACCGAACCGACUAAUGUUGAAAAAUUAGCGGAUGACCUGUGGCUGGGGGUGAAAGGCCAAUCAAACCGGGAGAUAGCUGGUUCUCCCCGAAAGCUAUUUAGGUAGCGCCUCGUGAAUUCAUCUCCGGGGGUAGAGCACUGUUUCGGCUAGGGGGCCAUCCCGGCUUACCAACCCGAUGCAAACUGCGAAUACCGGAGAAUGUUAUCACGGGAGACACACGGCGGGUGCUAACGUCCGUCGUGAAGAGGGAAACAACCCAGACCGCCAGCUAAGGUCCCAAAGUCAUGGUUAAGUGGGAAACGAUGUGGGAAGGCCCAGACAGCCAGGAUGUUGGCUUAGAAGCAGCCAUCAUUUAAAGAAAGCGUAAUAGCUCACUGGUCGAGUCGGCCUGCGCGGAAGAUGUAACGGGGCUAAACCAUGCACCGAAGCUGCGGCAGCGAACGUAUCACUUAAAGCGAUUCAGCGGGUUACGAUUGACGGAGCGAAGCGACGUCAAAGCGUAUACAAAGUCGAGUCGGUUUAAGGAUACGUUCGUUGGGUAGGGGAGCGUUCUGUAAGCCUGCGAAGGUGGCCUGUGAGGGUUGCUGGAGGUAUCAGAAGUGCGAAUGCUGACAUAAGUAACGAUAAAGCGGGUGAAAAGCCCGCUCGCCGGAAGA